GACGAACCGUGCGAACGUUGUUCGGAAUUACUGGGCGUAAAGCGCACGUAGGCGGCUUUGUAAGUUAGAGGUGAAAGCCCGGGGCUCAACUCCGGAAUUGCCUUUAAGACUGCAUCGCUAGAAUUGUGGAGAGGUAAGUGGAAUUCCGAGUGUAGAGGUGAAAUUCGUAGAUAUUCGGAAGAACACCAGUGGCGAAGGCGACUUACUGGACACAUAUUGACGCUGAGGUGCGAAAGCGUGGGGAGCAAACAGG
rnacentral:rRNA from 1 species